rnacentral:misc_RNA from 1 species
CAUGGUCUGGUCCAGUUGCUCC